rnacentral:rRNA from 1 species
UACAGAGGGGGCAAGCGUUGUUCGGAAUUACUGGGCGUAAAGGGCGCGUAGGCGGCCUGCUAAGUCGAACGUGAAAUCCCCGGGCUUAACCCGGGAACUGCGUCCGAUACUGGUUGGCUUGAAUUCGGGAGAGGGAUGCGGAAUUCCAGGUGUAGCGGUGAAAUGCGUAGAUAUCUGGAGGAACACCGGUGGCGAAGGCGGCAUCCUGGACCGGCAUUGACGUUGAGGCGCGAAAGCCAGGGGAGCAAACGGG